rnacentral:rRNA from 1 species
GCAAGUCGAACGGCAGCGCGGGGAGCUUGCUCUCUGGCGGCGAGUGGCGGACGGGUGAGUAAUACGUGGGUAUCUGCCUGACAGUGGGGGAUAACUCGAGGAAACUCGAGCUAAUACCGCAUACGUCCUGAGGGAGAAAGCGGGCUUCGGUUCGCGCUGACAGAUGAGCCCACGUCCGAUUAGCUAGUUGGUGGGGUAAAGGCCUACCAAGGCGACGAUCGGUAGCUGGUCUGAGAGGAUGAUC